ACGAGAUCCACGUGGACCAUCUCCACUAGCUUGUUGAUCGCGUUUCUCUUGUAAACCUCCGCCGCAUCAUCCGUCCGCUGCUGAUGCUGGUAAGACGGAGGAGGAGGCCUCGCGUAUCCAGAUCCGAUCGGAGGAGACGGCGAAGGUCGUGAGUAUCCAGAUCCGAUCGAGGGAGACGGCGAAGGCCUGGCGUAUCCAGAUCCGGAGGAUUGAGGGCGGCGCUGAGAGUACAACGGCGGGUCUGUGGAGAAGGCGGCGCUGAGCUGAGAGGCGAGAUCGAGGAGGUUGGAGCUAGGGUAAACCCAGGCGUGGAGAUAAGGGAGCGAGACGAGUC
rnacentral:lncRNA from 1 species